UACGAAGGGUGCAAGCGUUACUCGGAAUUACUGGGCGUAAAGCGUGCGUAGGUGGUUUGUUAAGUCUGAUGUGAAAGCCCCGGGCUCAACCUGGGAACUGCAUUGGAAACUGGCUGACUAGAGUGCGGUAGAGGGGUGUGGAAUUCCCGGUGUAGCAGUGAAAUGCGUAGAUAUCGGGAGGAACAUCUGUGGCGAAGGCGGCAUCCUGGACCGGCAUUGACGCUGAUGAGCGAAAGCUAGGGGAGCAAACGGG
rnacentral:rRNA from 1 species